ACUAAGCAUUGAUAAGCGUGUUCUCAUGGCUUCAAUUUCCUUAGUAACUUUUUCCAUCUGACUUUUAUAGUCAUUGCUUCGUUUUGUCUGGUGUUCAAGCUCCCAGUUGGUUUGUGUCUGACGGCUCAUCUCACUGUCCAGCUGCUUCCUGGCUUCCUUCAUGGUUUCCACUGCAGUCUUUGCAAAGGCAGCUGGCAGAGGAAUGGCCAAGGAAAGGAAAGACCUCACUGAGCGAAAAGAUGAGGACAAAAGCUGGUGAUGAUUCAGUGCAGCUGGUCUCAGGGGAUGAAGCAAAAGCCUGAUCAACUUCUCUACAAAAACAAGGCUCAAUGAGACGGGGGAAGUAAACAGCGAUACAUUCACCCAGACUGCUGAUGUUCCUGUAUGAACUGAAAAACUUUGAACAUCCAAGAAAAAGCUGAGGUUAUUUUCUUUACAGCUCAUAUGGAUCUUGAUUGACUGAACAUUCAGACUUUAUUCAGGACUUUGCUACAGGGAGAGAGGUACCAACAUGUGUGAGCACAUGUGUACACAGACACAGCAUCUCACUUCAUGCUUGCUCUUCCCCUAGACUCUUGUGUUACUCAGCAGUUUGUCGUAUUAUUGUCUUAUUUGUUGAAAUUUAGGG